rnacentral:misc_RNA from 1 species
UACGGAGGGGACUAGCGUUAUCCGGAAUCAUUGGGCGUAAAGAGCUCGUAGGCGGUUCAGCAAGUCGGCUGUGAAGGUCCGAGGCUCAACCUCGGAAUUGCAGUCGAUACUGCUGUGACUCGAGUCCGGUAGAGGAGAAUGGAAUUCCCGGUGUAGCGGUGAAAUGCGCAGAUAUCGGGAGGAACACCAGUAGCGAAGGCGGUUCUCUGGGCCGGCACUGACGCUGAGGAGCGGAAGCGUGGGGAGCAAACAGG